UUCACUGAAAAGAGGAGAGAGGGAGAGCGCAUCUCCUCUCUCCCAGGAGUUUGGGGGGGGGACAGUACACGCUCAUCUCGCCCACCCAGUGAAUGUCCGUUCUUCACCCCCUCGGUGCACACUCUCCCGGUUGUUGUUGGCUUAUUUUUUGGAGGGUGUGUGUGGCUUUUUUGUGUGUGUUUUUCGAAUUUUUUUUUCUGUUGGAAGAUCAAGACCGGCCAAAAAUCCACGAUCAAAAUGUGUUUGCAUUAGAUUUCUCCUCGGAAGAAGCGGCGAUCCUGGCGGCCAGGCCCCCCGGGGGCAGCGCGGGGCACGAAGUGGCGCUCCGGCGGGUGACACUGUUUGAUCUGUGACUGUUUGGAAGGUGGAGCGGCGCUGACAUCUCCCCCGGCGCAUGUAUGUACAGGGGCUUCACUCCUGUCUUGUUUGCUUUCUUCCUCCUAGACUAAGUGCGGGGAGGAAAGGACAGCCGGUCGGCCUCGCUGGCGCACAAUGAGAGAGCUGCGACCCGCGCACUAACAGCGCCCGCCGCGACCCCCACCGCCAGCAGAGAGGGGCCGAGAAAGUUGCGCGCGGAGACUCGCGGCUCGCCCAGGAAGGCGCGGGAGCGCCCGGCGGCGCCCGGACAGCGCCCGCCCAGCACAGCGCC
rnacentral:lncRNA from 1 species